CAACAGGGAUUGCCCCAGUAACGGCGAGUGAAGCGGCAACAGCUCAAAUUUGAAAUCUGGCUCCGGCCCGAGUUGUAAUUUGCAGAGGAAGCUUCUGGUGAUAUACUGUCUAAGUCCCCUGGAACGGGGCGCCACAGUGGGUGAGAGCCCCAUAUGACAGAUGUAGAUCCUGUGUGAAGCUCCUUCGACGAGUCGAGUAGUUUGGGAAUGCUGCUCUAAAUGGGAGGUAAAUUCCUUCUAAAGCUAAAUAUUGGCCAGAGACCGAUAGCGCACAAGUAGAGUGAUCGAAAGAUGAAAAGCACUUUGAAAAGAGGGUUAAACAGCACGUGAAAUUGUUGAAAGGGAAGCGCUUAUGACCAGACUUGCGCUGGGCUGAUCAUCCGGUGUUCUCACCGGUGCACUCGGCCCAGCUCAGGCCAGCAUCGGUUUUGGUGGGGGGAUAAAGGCGUUGGGAACGUAGCUCCUUCGGGAGUGUUAUAGCCCAGCGUGCAAUACCCCCGCUGGGACCGAGGUUCGCGCAUCUGCAAGGAUGCUGGCGUAAUGGUCAUCAGCGACCCGUCUUGAAACACGGACCAAGGAGUCAAGGUUUUGCGCGAGUGUUUGGGUGUCAAACCCGCACGCGUAAUGAAAGUGAACGUAGGUGAGAGCUUCGGCGCAUCAUCGACCGAUCCUGAUGUAUUCGGAUGGAUUUGAGUAGGAGCGUUAAGCCUUGGACCCGAAAGAUGGUGAACUAUGCUUGGAUAGGGUGAAGCCAGAGGAAACUCUGGUGGAGGCUCGCAGCGGUUCUGACGUGCAAAUCGAUCGUCAAAUCUGAGCAUGGGGGCGAAAGACUAAUCGA
rnacentral:rRNA from 1 species